rnacentral:misc_RNA from 1 species
GAUGAAGAACGCAGCGAAAUGCGAUACGUAAUGUGAAUUGCAAAUUCAGUGAAUCAUCGAGUCUUUGAACGCACAUUGCGCCCCCUGGUAUUCCGGGGGGCAUGCCUGUCCGAGCGUCAUUGCUGCCCUCAAGCACGGCUUGUGUGUUGGGCCCCGUCCUCCGAUCCCGGGGGACGGGCCCGAAAGGCAGCGGCGGCACCGCGUCCGGUCCUCGAGCGUAUGGGGCUUUGUCACCCGCUCUGUAGGCCCGGCCGGCGCUUGCCGAUCAACCCAAAUUUUUAUCCAGGUUGACCUCGGAUCAGGUAGGGAUACCCGCUGAACUUAAGCAUAUCAAUAAGCGAAGGA